GACUUGAGUCUAUGGGUAUGGGAAACCAUUUUGCAGUAAUUAGGAAUGUGCAGGUGAAAGUGGUAAACUUCCUUCUAUUGCAACUUUUCGGGCCUUUCUGACAAACAAAAACCAUGGUCAACCUGCUAGAAGUUUCUUUGGCGCCACGACAACCAUAUUCCAAUGUCAAGGUCAAAAAUCAAAGGCCAGAACUGAUGUCAGCUGGAAAGAUACCACAUUGUGUAUUGGACUUGCAAGUUCAAAGGUCAAGGAUCAAAGGUCAGAACUGAUGUCAGAUGGAAAGAUACCACAUUGUGGAAUGAAUUUGCAUGCUGGAUAGUAAAUGAAUGCACCAGUUUCAAGUUCAAAGGAUUGAUGUAGAAGCCUGGAUGCUUUGCCGAUGGUUUCAUUUCCUGUGGAUAUUAUAUGGACAUUGAUGGGUGCUACUGCUUGGUGCAAAGCAAUAAUGACAUUUUGUAGCCUG